rnacentral:rRNA from 1 species
UACGUAGGGUGCGAGCGUUACUCGGAAUCACUGGGCGUAAAGCGCACGUAGGCGGACUCGCAGGUCAAUUGUGAAAUACCUGGGCUCAACCCGGGAACUGCAGUUGAAACCGCUUGUCUUGAAUACCUGAGAGGAUGGGGGAAUACCUGGUGGAGAAGUGAAAUUCGUAGAGAUCAGGUGGAACACCGGAGGCGAAGGCGCCUGCCUGGCAGUGUAUUGACGCUGAGGUGCGAAAGUGCGGGGAGCAAACAGG